rnacentral:lncRNA from 1 species
UAACAGAUAUAUUUAUUUUAGAUCUUCAUCCUCAUGGUUUUAUAAGGAUUUGCUUUACUUUAGGCCAGAAAUGAAGAAGUUGGGUCUCUUGGCAGGCACCAGAUAAUCAAUAUAUGAGAAGUCCAUCCAUGUGUUUUCCUAAGGAUUUAUUUCCUUGCUUUAGGUCAAGAAGUUUCCGAUGGAGCAGCAUAUGGACAAAAUAUGUUUUUCAAAGCUUUUCUUUCAUCUAACCCAGGGUAAAUAUCUCCUUGAAAUCCUGUGGUAUCCAGAAAAUGUUUAAAAUCACAAUCCAUGACAACAUUUAUAGAAGUUAUCACAAAGAUAAUUAGGAUUUUUUUGGACCAACCACCUAGUUACUCUUGCUUUAUAAAUAUGGGUAAAUGUGCACUCGUUUUUGUGGAUAUCUGAAUUUUAAAC